GCAGCGGCCAUAUACAUUGUGGGGUACAAGUCCCCCCCAAUGUUCAGAUAUGCCCAAAAUGUCCCCCCCAAUAAAUCGCUGGGAAUAGAGAUAAAGCAAUUCAAUAUUUCUAUGGGUAGAACACUUAUGUUUUCCCUGAAGUACACUCCGUUCGCUGAACGCAUCUCUGCACAGAGUGCGCGCCGCACACCCUAAAUAACUCAAUCCGAUUCCAUCUACAGCUCUUACAGCCAAUGAGAAUAUGGCUGUUCGGGCAAGCUAGCCAAUGGGAUAGAUCCAUGAUUUGAUUCGUCCCCGCACGUGCGGCUCGGUGACGGUGACUUGUCACUCGAUUGCAUUGGUCAUCAACCGUCUUUUUUACAUGACCACGGAAUCAAAAACAUCAACAACAGCAAAUGAGUGGCGUGUUACGAUCGAAAACACAGUCGGACCUUGAUGCUGUGACAACGGACAAGUCUUCUUCCUCUGUCCUUUUCCCCUGCAUCUGUUCAGUAUGUUCAGUGUUCUUAAAUCAUUUUAUUAGUUACUGUUCUUAUUGUGUUCUUGUUAGUGUGAUGUUUGAAUAAACUUGCCUGUUGCAAUGUUGGUAUAAUGUUUGUAUAAUUACUGUUAUACAACUGUUACUGUUUCAAUGUGACCCAGACCAUAUUUCUCAUUUAACAAACAUGUGUAGCUUAUAAUGUGUUGCAUGGCAGAGCAAUUAUAUUCAAUGGCUUAAAACAAACCCAUCUGUAAAGAUCAGUGAAUGCAUAGAAAUCAAUGACAAGUGGUGUAGAUGGUUUUCCCUCUGUGCAAGGUCAUUAGCCCAAGUCCUACAAAAAAAUAACGACUGUAAUAGCAGAUGUUGAGGUUGUUAAAUCGUUAACUAACCAUUUGUAUGGAACAAUCGGUUAAGGUAAGUUAAGUGCUUGAGUCUCGACACUUUAGAGAAUGUCUAGCGCGCAACU
rnacentral:lncRNA from 1 species